GAAAUGCGAUAAGUAAUGUGAAUUGCAGAAUUCAGUGAAUCAUCGAAUCUUUGAACGCAUCUUGCGCUCCUUGGUAUUCCGAGGAGCAUGCCUGUUUGAGUGUCAUGGAAUUCUCAACUCUAUUUGCUUUUGUGAAUAGAGCUUGGAUUUGGAGGUUUAUUGCUGGUACUUGUGAUCGGCUCCUCUUGAAUGCAUUAGCUCGAACCUUUGCGGAUCAGCUAUCGGUGUGAUAAUUGUCUACGCCGUUGCAGUGAAGCAUAUCAAUGGGCUCGGCUUCCAAUCGUCCUUUACUGGACAAUGACUUUGACCUUUGACCUCAAAUCAGGUAGGAUUACCCUCUGAACUUAAGC
rnacentral:misc_RNA from 1 species